GAGAAAAACGCGACGAGGAUUAUUGAGCCAUUCAAUAAUUUAUUAUCCAGUUUAAUAACUGACUUAGCAAAGUCAAGUUAUUAAUAGAAAUAUUAUUUCUAUUAUUUACUUGGAAGUCGUGAUCUAAUUCCGAAUCAUAAGAACGAGUUAAAUUAGAUAUUUAAUUCGUAGAGAGUUAUAACGAAGCGUCGUUAUUUAGUAGAACCCAAUAUUAGUUUUACAAAUACUUGAUUAAUUAAUAUUAAUCAAGCUAGAUGAUUUUUUUUAUUAGUAACCUCAAUUCUAUUUACUUUACCAUCAUCAUUAUUCUUUCCACUCCCUAAUGUCUCCUACACUAUCAACAUACCAUAGCAUAAUUUAGACCUCAAGCAUGAAGCAUGUAUAUACGUUGACCACAUGAGUAACAUCAUAAGCCUCUUUCAUACAUAGCAUAAUCAAUCAAGAAGACAACCAAAUCAAUUAGCAAAAGCAAAAGCUCUUCAAUCACCAACUCCACUCCACCAACUCCACUCCACCACUACACUCCCACACCCACCUACUCCCUCCACUUAAGUCAUUUGGCUGAAACAUAUCCUCACACAACCUUUAGCCCCACUAAGAAGAGUAAAAGCCUCACUUCCCCUCCAUAUUCCCUCCAUUUUCGUCCCUCCUCCUUUCCUCCACUCUCACAACUAUUCUCCCACCAUUAUCACACUCCAUAGAAGCCCUUGAUGCCCCAAGAGAAGUAGCAAAGCAAGGGAGAGCGUGGAAAAACUAGGGCGUAAAGUUAGAGUGAAGGUUGUGCUUCGAGGGUCCGGGCGACAGAAAGUGAAGCCGAAGAAGAAACGACUCCACGCCAGCUUUAAGAACAAUUGAGGUUGAGCUGUGAUGGGCGAUGAAGUGUUGCUGAGUGGAGUUUUUGUCGAACUUAAAGUAGGCUCAGAAAGGAUACAUGUCUUCAUACAUGUAUCACAGUUAUGCUUUCCGCUGUAAACACUGAUUAUUUCAGUUACGCCUUCCGUUGCAAACUCUGAUAAUGUUUUAGCCAAGCCCCUAAUGAUGCCUUUUUCCUUUUAAGGAAUAUAACGCGUAUACAAGUUCUUUGAGUA